UGCUACAAUAGUAAUUCAACUUAGUACGAGAGCAACCGUUGAUUUGCACAAUUGGUAAUUGCACUUGGUUAAAAAGCCAGUGGCGCGAAGCUACCAAGUGUGGGAUUAUGACUAAACGCCUCUAAGUCAGAAUUCGUGCUAGAUGCGGUG
rnacentral:ncRNA from 1 species